rnacentral:rRNA from 1 species
UACGUAGGUGGCAAGCGUUGUCCGGAUUUACUGGGCGUAAAGGGCGCGUAGGCGGCCGAUCAAGUCAGGCGUGAAAUUCCCGGGCUCAACCUGGGGGCUGCGCUUGAUACUGAUUGGCUUGAAUGCGGGAGAGGAUAGUGGAAUUCCCAGUGUAGAGGUGAAAUUCGUAGAUAUUGGGAAGAACACCGGUGGCGAAGGCGGCUAUCUGGCCCGUAAU